UAUUCGGUAGUCUGAUGUGUUUAGUUUUGGAGUAUUGCUACUCGAGAUUGUGAGUGGGAAGAAGAACACAUGCUUUUAUAACCACGGGUCACUCAAUCUUCUUAGAUAUGCUUGGGAGUUGUGGAGAGAUGGUCAAAGCUUGGAGUUGAUGGAUUCAGCGAUAGGGUAAUCCAUCUUCCACUUCUACCCUGGUGAGAUACAUUAAUAUCGAGCUACUUUGCGUUCAAGAAAAUCCAGCUGAUCGACCUACCAUGCUUGAUGUGGUGUCAAUGAUCAGUAAUGAAAAUGAACCUCUGCUUACACCCAUGCAACCUGCUUUUACAAUUGGCCGGAAUUUGAUGCACACGAAUCCAACAAUUAAGUCUGCAGAAAAUUGCUCAAUAAACAGUGUAACUGUUUCAGUAAUGGAGGCUCGAUGAAUACUACUGUUUGGUUUACUAAUUAACUGUGCAAUCUAAUAGGCAAAACUGCUUACAGAAAGUAAGUUUUGGAUCACAAGGUGGGUUCAAGCAUGCUGUAGAGCACAGAUAGAGAGUAUUGUAAUUUUUCAUGAUGACAUACAUAUAACUAUUGAGGUA